UACAUAGGGUCCGAGCGUUGUCCGGAAUUACUGGGCGUAAAGAGCUCGUAGGUGGUUUGUCGCGUUGUUCGUGAAAACUCACAGCUCAACUGUGGGCGUGCGGGCGAUACGGGCAGACUAGAGUACUGCAGGGGAGACUGGAAUUCCUGGUGUAGCGGUGGAAUGCGCAGAUAUCAGGAGGAACACCGGUGGCGAAGGCGGGUCUCUGGGCAGUAACUGACGCUGAGGAGCGAAAGCGUGGGGAGCGAACAGG
rnacentral:rRNA from 1 species